AACAAACGCUGGCGGCGUGCCUAAUACAUGCAAGUCGAACGGGGUAGCAAUACCUAGUGGCGCACGGGUGAGUAACGCGUGGAUAAUCUGCCUUAGAGUGGGGGAUAACUAGUCGAAAGAUUAGCUAAUACCGCAUAAGACCACAAGAACUGCGGUUCAAGGGUUCAAAGGUUUUUCGCUCUAAGAUGAGUCCGCGUAAGAUUAGCUAGUUGGUGAGGUAAUGGCUCACCAAGGCGACGAUCUUUAACUGGUCUGAGAGGAUGAUCAGUCACACUGGAACUGAGACACGGUCCAGACUCCUACGGGAGGCAGCAGUAGGGAAUAUUGCACAAUGGAGGAAACUCUGAUGCAGCGACGCCGCGUGAGUGAUGAAGGCCUUCGGGUCGUAAAGCUCUGUCGCAGGGGAAUAACACAAUGAAUGUACCCUGUAAGAAAGGAUCGGCUAACUUCGUGCCAGCCGCCGCGGUAACAC
rnacentral:rRNA from 1 species